GUCCUGGCUGGAUUCCUAGCCUGGCCGAGGACCUCCUCGGCACCCACGUGGUACAACCCUCCCUUCAGUGCCUCAGUGCCACCCCGCGUUCCACCUCGGUCGGCCCCCCCCGCGGGCAGUGCGUGCCCUAAACUCGGCCGGUGACGUCAGAGCCCCGCUCAGGGUGGGGGGCGUUAAUACGGGAGGCUCGCGCGCUCCUGCAACGGCCCCCGGGACUCAGAGACAACGAGCCUGGGCGGCUGUGGAACGCUCCCGGGCUGGGGCUGGGGCCGGAGCCGCGGGGCGGGCGCUGCUGAAAGGGUACUACUAACUAUGAACUAACAGAGUCCAAGAGGGAAGCUGCAGCCAAGCUGGAGCAGAGCAGUUCCGAUGCACCUUCACUGGCGGCAAGAAGGAACCGAGGGUGGGGGAAGCGCGCAGCACCCCUUAUAUCACACCACAGAGGUGCCACUCCAAGAAUUGCUAGGGGCGCUCCCCUACAGGUACUGCUAGGGGAAAAACUUCUGGCACCAGUGCACAUGGUGAGCACGUACACCUAUUGUGGAAUGCAUGUGAGCAAUCACUCAAAGAAGAACUAAUAUUUAACCUGAAGCUAAAGCUGAAACUAUUUGCCACUUCUUCAGCCAAAAAUCUCCCUUAAGAGAAGGUUUGCAUCAGCUCCCAAAACUCAGUAGAAACUUGGUUCAUUUUAAGAUUGAUUCCACUUUAUAAAAACAAAAAGACCACAUAUUGGAAACCAGGGAAAAUCACAACUUUUAACUGAGCCCCCUUAGUUCUGUCAGCCUUCCAUUUUCCCUUCUAGCUUUACAUUUAAAGACACAAUAUUUAUACUUCACAGGUGGCAUAUUAGAAAUGUGAGCUAUAGAGCAUUCCUAUUUUGUUUCGUAUAUGUCUGAUAUCUCAGUAUUCCAUCAACAUAACCUUUGAACUUUCCAUAUAGUACCAUAAUUUAAUCUCACAUGACCUAGCUGUUUGGAUAUAGAGAUACACUAACUCUUUGUACGACCCAUGGAAUCUUUGUAUGCAGUGUUGUUAUAACCAUGUUGGUCCCAGGAUAUUAGAGAGACAAGGUGGGUUAGGUAAUACAUUUUAUUGGACCAACCUUUGUGAAAGCUCAAAAGCUUGUCUCUGUCACCAACAGAUCGUUGGUUCGAUAAAAGAUUACCUCCCCCACAUGGAAUCUUUGUGAACUAUGGGAAAUGCCUCAGUCUGCUUUUGCCUAAUCAGACAUUGUUAAACGAUAACCCUAAGGAAGGUCAAGUCUACACAAUCACUGUAUGAUUAAAAGGUAUUGAAAGUUUCAAUAGACACUGAAGAUGACCAUAGAAUGGAUAGAUACGCUUCAUAGUUCUAGGUUAAGGGAACCUAGUUGAGGUUGUUUGUGUGAAGUUAAGUGCACUUUCGCAUACUUUAAAAAAAGGGGAGAAGGUUGUAAAGUAGAAUCAUAGUUUAGGAUUUAUAGAUUUUUCUAAAAUUCAUGUUUUGAGAAAACUAGAAAAUUCUAUUAAGACUUCUUUGGCUAACCUGGUACAGAAAAGCAGCAAAGUAGUGUUAGCCAGUGCAUUUAGGUUAUGUUUAUAUGCACCACAUGAAUAGCUAUAUAUUAUAUAAAUACCAUAUACAUGUGUGCUGGGUAAUUAUGCUAAGUUGUACACUGCUUAUUUUAGCUCAUUUAUGCUUAGGCAUAUAUCCCAUGAGGCCCUGGGAGAUGUAUAGCUCAGCACUUGGCUUAAGCAAAUACAAAAACUGUCAAAAGCUAGAUAUACGAGCAUUAUGAAACAAAGGUACAAUGUAGUACAAGGAAAUAAUGAAAGAUGUAUGAAUGCUUUGUAUUAGGGAGUAUCUUCAUGCCCUUUAACAUUUAGUAUUUAAUAUUCAAACGAAAGAUGGGAAAGUACAAGGAGGCACCAAAGACAAAGCUGGCUUGUUAAACUUUAAGUGCUCUGUUACUUGUAAACAGCCAUGCUAUAAAAGAUGGCCAGUUUAAAGGGGCACUUGGGAAGCACAUUGUCCAAGAUGAACUGAACACACUGCGAGACUUCAGGUCCCAGAAAGGAUUGGUGAUGUAUUAACUUUUUCAUGUACCAUAGUGUGUUUUGUUUUUAGACAACUUUGGCUGAGCUUGGUUAUGUGAUCUCUUGAAUGUUCUUAAUAUCAAACUGCAAGUAUAGUCAAUGUAUUGGCUAUACCUUUUAGUCCAUAAAAAUGUGUUGUCAUAAAGAUGGUUAGAUGCUGUAGUGGAAAAGAAGAUAUGGAGCACAGGACAUUCAAUCACACUGUAAUAUGAUUGUUUCUCCUGGUCAGCUUAGUUAAAGGAUAUCCUGUCGCUCAUGCAUUAGAACUAUUUGUUUUACCACUGAAAUUCUGUUUCUAGGAAUAUCUUGUAUUAUAAAUCAGUAUCUCAAUACACUGUGGUAGGGUUUUUCUGCUUCUAACACCCCAGACCUGAGAGCAUUUAGGUUUCAUGGUGCAGAGAAUGAAGGAGGGUCAGCUCUACUGCCUGACCCUUCAUCAGAGAGGUACAUCACUUGGUCACUCUUCUCAUCAUGGGUGCCCCCACUAAAUUAAUCAGUCUGGGGAGAGAAACCUUUAUAUCCUAAGCUGCUUUUCUAUAGUUUUACUUGGGGCCUUUUAGAUAGGUGAUGGCUACAGGCAGCAUGCUUCAACAUAACCUCUUCCUAGUACAUGAAAAAAUAGUUACCUCUUUUUCCUCCCCCCCCACAAAAAAAAAAAAGGCAAAACAACCCCCCAAAAAGUCUCCCACUCCAAAAAAAACCCCCAGAGCCCAGAUACAUACAGUAUUUAACUUUUCAUUGUGGGUUGGGAUCUGCCUUUAUCUCUAGCCACCAUUGCAAGAAGCUAAAACACUAUGGUGGAAAUCACUGCUGUUAUCAUUGAAGUCCUCAAGAGGCACUCUUCCUCUUGUGGACCACUAGAGACAGAAUUCACCAAUUUUUUAAAAAAGCAUCUAAGGAACACUUUGAGUAGUGUCUGAAUAUGAAUCCGCAACAGAGGAAUUGGGGCCUGAGGGGGAAUUACUGUUUGUGCUAAUUUAGGGACAAUUUAGAUCAUAGGUUGGUUUUAAUUUACAUGAUAUUCCACUGCCAUAUCAUGGGUGAAUAAAGAAUGUUUGGCCUCUAAUACUAGAGAUGCGUAUAUCUGGUACCAUAAGACAAUUACAGUAUUGAACAAUAUUAUUACCAUACACCAUUUAUAUUAUAGUGGCAUAGAGACUGUACAACCUUCAGUCUAUCACUGCAACAAAAUUCCUCAUUGUGAUGUAAACACAGGGAACUGUACUAAGAUCAACUCAUUUCACAUAAGCCACUAAACAGUAUGACAACUCUGGUCACUAGUGACUUGGAUGCAAAUGUAUUAGUUUUAAAGGGCUUACUCAUUUGUUUGGGCUGCAAAAAUGCUAACAAAAGGAUUCUAAAAAAUCUUUUUAUUGCUAUACAAGUGAGAGUAAUUUGGCUAACAAAUACCAGUCUCUAGGUAGGUUGUUUUUUUAAUUACAUAGCUCAGAAUUCUUGUCUGUCAAUUACCUUGCUUCCACAGCAAGAGCCAUUUCUCUUGUUGAUGAAAAUAUAUCUUCUAGUAAUAGCAUCAAUUUUUGCUAAUUUGUUUUUAAUCAAAUACUAGUCAGAAAGUUAGAGUUUAAUUUUUGGGUGGAGGGUAGGAAAGAUAAGGUAGAGCAGUGGUUCUCAAUCAGGGGUCCGGGGCCCCCUGGGGGGGGCCACAAGAAGGUUUCAGGGGGUCUGCCAAGCCCGGGCAGCAUUAGACUCACUGGGUCUCAGGACAGAAAGCUGAAGCCCUGCUGCAUGGGGCCCUGAGCCCUGUCACCCAGGGCAGAAGCCAAAGUUUGAGCAAUGUAGCUUUGCAGGCGGGGCCCCCAGUGGCUUGGGGCCAUGGGCAAUUGCCCUGCUUGGUACCCCCACUGCCGGCCCUGGCUUUUAUAUGCAGAAAAACAGUAGUUGUAACAAGGUGGGCGGUGGAGUUUUUAUAUCAUGGAAGGGUGGGGGGCUCAGAAAGAAAAAGAUGAAGAACCCCUGAGGUAGAGAGCAUUGUUCACAUAGCAUAGAUUACUGCCUGUCACUCACAAAUCUUUAGUCUGAUGAAACCUCUGCCCCGUUACACUUGUGUGUUUAUUACAUAAAGCUUUUUAUUUUAAAACACCAAAAACAGCAGUAUGUUUUAGCAAACUGACUUUGGCUGGUUGUAAUGUGAAUAGGGAAUAAAUCAAUUAGUUAAAAGUUAGGUCUAUUAAUUAAUCUUCAAUGACAGAUUGAGAUUAAGUGCCAAAUUCACAUGGUGGCUAAGAAAUUAAUAUUUAAUACAUAUCAAUGAGAUUUUAUUUGAAUUAACUAAAGAUUUAAAUAUUAAAGCAAGUUAAAAUAUAAGUCUACAUUAAAUUACAAUGUUAAAUAGCUUUUAAAUACAUUUGUUGUACUAAACAUAUGAUAGGGGGUUUGGUUUCUAACACAGAGGAAAAGGAAUAAAAAUAAUUCAAAGAAUGCAAUACAAUUCAUGAGACCAGAUGACAGAAUGAGGACUUUAAUAUGGAAACCCAGAAGAUGUCAGCUUUUAGCAAUGGAUACUUAAGAAGGGGUCGUGGACUUAUAAUUUAUGCACAAAAGUCAUAUUAUAUAAAUUUAGUAAGUGAUUUUCAAGAAAAUAUUGCUUAAAUUCUCAUUAGGCCAUGAUCAAAACUCCUUUGGUAGCUUUUAAUCAGAAUGAAACACCAUUAUGCAAAUCCUGUAAAAUAAAACAGGCUUGUAAAUAUUACCACAAAAAAGUAUCUUCCUUAUAGUUACAAUUAUCUAACAGAUCUACAUGUCCUUCAUUCUUUAAUUCAAAUCAACUUACAUAUAUACAAUAUGUAACAGGGAACUCACAAAAUCCAUACUCUCUCAAGACAAAAAUCUAUGCUUUCACAACAUCGAGACUGUAAAGCCUUUGAAAUCUUUUCUCUUCUUGUGUUGAGUGCACUGUACAGUAAUUAUCCUAUAUUUGUCUCUAAAGACAAAACUAAAUUAUACUGAAGUUUUACAUAAACAGUGAUACAAAUCACUUGCCCUAGAGCAAAAAAUUCCACAAAUGAAUACCUUAGCUAAGUAAUCAGACAGCUCACUACAGACAUUUUAACACAGUUGUCCUCUUGGCACUUCAAAGAUUUCACUUCAAAACCUGAUUUAUCCAAACCAGACUGAAGUUUAGAACUAUUUUAAAAAAAAAUUAAACAAACAUGAAUAUAACAGUAUCAUGGUGCAUAAUUUCAAGAAUUCACUGAAUGUUUGUACACAAGUGUUAAUUAAUUAAAAGGGGUUUUAAAAGAUACCAGAGUGAUUUUUUGUAGCUAAAGAAUGCAGCAUUAAGGGUCUUUAUGGAUGUGCACUCAUGAACACAUACAUAAAUAAGCCAGAAAAAGAGUAUUUUUUUACCUUCCCUUCCAACUUCAAAAGUUAAUUUUAAACAAAGUAGAAUAAACAUAUCUUGAAGAACUCAAAAGAACAAAUGGAAGAACUAAAAGAAAUAAAAAAUGUGCCAUUUAAAAAUCACUAAGGAGUCUUGACAAGGAUCAUUGAAGAAACAUUUCCUUUGCUUCUCAUCCACACCAGUGCAUGCAGCUGGUUGAAUAGUAUACAUCAACUUGAGGAUCUGCUAAAAGUAAAGUCUGCAAACAGCAUAGGUAUUUAAAGUCCUGAAUACAUGAUUCUGGUGUCUUCUUAGAAAAAAAAGUUCUCUCCCAUUAUGCAACAUAGUGGUAUUGAUUGGGGUUGUCUUUGUCUCUCUCCAUAUAGUCUCUAUCUAUGAGAGAUUCAAUCCUUUUUUUCAAGUCUCCAGGCUAUAAGAAAAGAUCAAAUUGGUAUUAUGUUUAGUAAUAUAAAUGAAAUAUAAAAAACUUAUUUUCAAUCCCACUAUAGUAAAAUGAGGACAGUAAUCUUUAUUUAAAAAAUUGGCACUAUAAAUUGUAUAACAAAAUACAUCAAAUUAAAAAUGCAUUUCUAUAUAUCUAUAUCUAUAAAUGCAUUUUGUUAUAUAACUCCUGAUAAAACCUGUUGACUUCCCCCCCUCAUUGUUAAAGAAAACGUAUUUUAACAUUUGAAUCUUUGAUUUUGAUUCAACCAUUAAAUCCUACACUAUUUCCUUAUUUUCUCAUCUUUUAGAAGGACAGAAAAGAAUAGAAAAAUUAAUGAAAAAGACAAUUAUCUUUUCCAUAACUGGUGUUCUUCAGGAUGUGUUGCUCAUGUCCAUUCCAUAUUAAGUGUGUGCACUCACCACAUGCACCGGUGCUGGAAGAUUUUCCCUCAGUGGUAUCCGUAGGGGACUGGCUCUGCCGCCCAAUGGAGCAGCGCACACAAGGGGCCCUGCUGGCUUCUCCCACCCUCAGUUCCUUCUUGCUGGAAACUCCGACAGUGGGAAGGAGAGCGGGUCAUGGAAUGGACAUGAGCAACACAUCUUGAAGAACACCUGUUAUGGAAAAGGUAACUGUCUUUUCUUCUUUGAGUGCUUGCUUAUGUCCAUUCCAUAUUAGGUGACUCCCAAGCAAUGCCAAUGGAGGCAGGUAGGAGUUCACAGACAUGUAGAUUGCAACAUAGCUCUGCCGAACCCAACGUCAUCUCUGGCCUGCUGAGCAAGGGCGUAGUGCGCUGUGAACGUGUGAACUGAAGACCAUGUCGCAGCUCUGAAAAUGUCCUGAAUAGGGACAUGCGCCAGGAAGGCCGCCGAGAAUGCCUGAGCUCUGGUUGAGUGGGCCCUCACAAUCAGCGGCGGUGGGACCUGCGCCAGUUCGUAACAGGUCCAGAUGUAGGUGGUGAUCCAGUUGGAAAUCCUCUGCAAGGACACUGGAAGGCCCUUCAUCCUCUCCACUGUCACGAUGAAGAACUGGGUCGACCUGCGGAAGGGCUUGGUAUGCUCCAGAUAAAAUGCCAGGGCACGUCUGAUGUCCAGGGCAUGCAGCCUCCUUUCCUUACUAGCGGUAUGUGAGCUGGGACAAAAUACCAGGAGGAAGAUGUACUGGUUAACAUGGAAGGAAGACACCACCUUCAGCAGAAAGGCCGGAUGGGGUCACAGUUGAACUUUGUCCUUAUAGAACACUGUAUACGGUGGCUUCAACAUCAGAGCUUUAAGUUCCAACACUCAUCUCGCGGAUGUUAUGGCUACAAGGAAAGCGACAUUCCAUGACAGGUGGGAGAGGGAGCAGGAGCCCAUAGGCUCAAAAGUUGGGCCCAUGAGCUUAGAAAGAACCAAGUUAAGGUCUCACUGUGGGACAGGGACUCAGGCCGGUGGGAGGAGCCUCUCGAGACGUCUCAGGAAUCAGACCAACAUGUCGUUGUGAGAAUACCUUUUGGAUCUGUGGGUGGAAAGCGGAGAUAGUCGCAAGGUGCACCUUGACAGAAGACUGGGCCAGCCUCUGGUUCUUAAGAUGGAGCAGGUAAUCUAAGAUAGAUUGUAAGGAGGAGCGCAUUGGAGAAAUGCUACACUCGGACGCCCAGUGGGAGAACCUCAUCCACUUGGCCAGGUAGGUCACUCCAGUGGAAGGCUUCCUGCUAUCCAGGAGGAUUUGCUGGACCUCGUUAGAGCAGGCCUGCUCCUCCGGGUUCAACCACACAGCAUCCACGCCGUGACGUGGAGGGGGGCAAAAUUGGGGUGUAAGAGAUGCCUGCGAUCCUGUGAGAGCAGAUGGGAAGGCUCCAGGGAGUGGACACCAUCACGUCCAUCAGCAUGCCGAUCCAAUGGUGGUGAGGCCACGCUGGGGCGAUCAUGACUACUUGGGCCUUGUCUCUCUUGAUCUUUGACAGGACUCUGCUGAUGAGCGGGAUCGGUGGAAACGCGUACAUCAGUCCCCCUGCCCAUGACAGGUGGAAGGUGUUGGAGAGGGAGUCCUUGCCCAGACCCUAUAGGGAACAGAAGUGAUGGCAUUUCCUGUUCUGACUGGUGGCAAACAGAUCCACUUGGGGAGUUCCCCACCUCUGGAAGAGUUUCUGGGCUACAUCCGGAUGGAGCAACCACUUGUGGUGAGAGAAAAAGGAUCUGCUGAGGUGAUCUGCCAGCGUAUUCCUGACACCGGGGAGGUGAUAGGCCUACAAGUGGAUUACAUGCUUGAUUCAGAAAUCCCACAAUCAGAGAGCCUCUUGAUAGAGAGCUGACGAGUGCGCUCACUCUUGCCUGUUGAUGUUGAAUGUCGAGGUCGUAUUGUCUGUCAACACACUCACCCCCUUGCCCGCCAAGUGUGGUAAAAAGACUCCACAGGCCAACCUAACCGCUCUGAGCUCGAUGAUGUAUAUAAACAUCUUCAUCUCCUCUGGGGACUACACGCCCUGGGUCUGAAGGUUGCCAAGAUGCGCUCCCCAGCCUAGGUCUGAGGCGUCCAAUAUCAGCUUGAUACAGUGACAAGGGCUGUCGAAUGGAACUCCUUCCAGGACCGCCCUGGAGUCCGUCCACCAUUGCAGCAAGGUAAGUAUCGUCAGCGGGAUGGUAACGACCUUUUCCAGGUGAUCUCUGGACUAGGAAUAGACCGUCACCAGCCACUGCUGUAAAUGUCGCACCCAGAGGCUGGCAUGGUGGACGACAUACGUACAUGCUGCCAUGUGUCCCAGCAGGCGCAGACAAACCCUGUUCCCCCAGGCCACGGCCACAGACUCCCAUGCAGAGGUCCACCAAUGCUUGGAACCUCUCCUGUGGCAGAAACGCUCUGGCGCAGGUGGAGUCGAGCACUGCGCCGAUGAACUCUAUCCUCUGCACUGGAACUAACGUUGACUUUUUGUCGUUUACCAGCAGGCCCAGGAUCGGCCUGGGUUGGGACCUGGAUUGACCUUUGACCAGCCAGUCAUCGAGGUACGAGUAGAUCUAUAUACUCCAAUGCCUGAGGGCCUGCCGAAGGGAACGUCCAGCACUGACGGCUAAGCCUCUGUCGACAGACCCUAGAGGAGCAUCCAGGAUGCCUGCUGCAUGGAGAUGGCCGAGGCCAUGGUGCAAGCCGCAGAGUCAGCCGCAUCUGAAGCUGUCUGGAGGGCCACCCUGGCCACAGUGGUGCCCUCUUCGAGUACUGUCCAGAAUUCCUUCUUGGACCCUUCGGGAAGCGAAGCCUCGAACUUGGCCAUUGCCUGCCACAUGUUGUAAUCGGAGCAGCCAAGGAGGGCUUGGUGGUUGGCCAUUCUCAACUGAAGGCUGGAAGAUGAAUAAAUCUUUCACCCAAACAGA